ACGGGAGGCAGCAGUGGGGGAUAUUGCACAAUGGGGGAAACCCUGAUGCAGCGACGCCGCGUGAGUGAUGAAGUAUUUCGGUAUGUAAAGCUCUAUCAGCAGGGAAGAAAAUGACGGUACCUGACUAAGAAGCUCCGGCUAAAUACGUGCCAGCAGCCGCGGUAAUACGUAUGGAGCAAGCGUUAUCCGGAUUUACUGGGUGUAAAGGGAGCGUAGACGGUGACGCAAGUCUGAAGUGAAAGGUGUGGGCUCAACCCGCAAACUGCUUUGGAAACUGUGUGACUAGAGUGUCGGAGAGGUAAGUGGAAUUCCUAGUGUAGCGGUGAAAUGCGUGGAUAUUAGGAGGAACACCAGUGGCGAAGGCGGCUUACUGGACGAUAACUGACGUUGAGGCUCGAAAGCGUGGGGAGCAAACAGGAUUAGAUACCCUGGUA
rnacentral:rRNA from 1 species